UGGGGAAUUUUGGACAAUGGGGGCAACCCUGAUCCAGCCAUGCCGCGUGCGGGAAGAAGGCCUUCGGGUUGUAAACCGCUUUUGGUCGGGAAGAAAAGGCGUCAGUUAAUACCUGGCGUUCUUGACGGUACCGGCAGAAUAAGCACCGGCUAACUACGUGCCAGCAGCCGCGGUAAUACGUAGGGUGCGAGCGUUAAUCGGAAUUACUGGGCGUAAAGCGUGCGUAGGCGGUUCGUUGUGUCCGAUGUGAAAGCCCCGAGCUUAACUUGGGAAUGGCAUUGGAAACUGGCGGGCUGGAGUGUGGCAGAGGGGGGUGGAAUUCCACGUGUAGCAGUGAAAUGCGUAGAGAUGUGGAGGAACACCGAUGGCGAAGGCAGCCCCCUGGGCUGACACUGACGCUCAGGCACGAAAGCGUGGGGAGCAAACAGGAUUAGAUACCCUGGUAGUCCACGCCCUAAACGAUGUCAACUGGGUGUUGGGGAAGCGAUUCCUUGGUACCGUAGCUAACGCGUGAAGUUGACCGCCUGGGGA
rnacentral:rRNA from 1 species